CUUGGUCAUUUAGAGGAAGUAAAAGUCGUAACAAGGUCUCCGUUGAUGAACCAGCGGAGGGAUCAUUACCGAGUUUACAACUCCCAAACCCCUGUGAACAUACCUUUAUGUUGCCUCGGCGGAUCAGCCCGCGCCCCGUAAAACGGGACGGCCCGCCGCAGGAACCACAAAACUCUGAUUUUAGUGUAACUUCUGAGUCUAAAAAACAAAUAAAUCAAAACUUUCAACAACGGAUCUCUUGGUUCUGGCAUCGAUGAAGAACGCAGCAAAAUGCGAUAAGUAAUGUGAAUUGCAGAAUUCAGUGAAUCAUCGAAUCUUUGAACGCACAUUGCGCCCGCCAGUAUUCUGGCGGGCAUGCCUGUUCGAGCGUCAUUUCAACCCUCAAGCCCCCGGGUUUGGUGUUGGGGAUCGGGCUGUACUCCAGCCCGGCCCCGAAAUCUAGUGGCGGUCUCGCUGCAGCCUCCAUUGCGUAGUAGCUAACACCUCGCAACUGGAACGCGGCGCGGCCAAGCCGUUAAACCCCCAACUUCUGAAUGUUGACCUCGGAUCAGGUAGGAAUACCCGCUGAACUUAAGCAUAUCAAUAAGCGGAGGA
rnacentral:misc_RNA from 1 species